AACGGUCUAUACCUGCGGUACCUGCGGAGGGAUCAUUAGUGAACGCCCUCACGGGCUUAUAACUAUUCCAAACCUCUGUGAACCGUGCCCUUCGGGGCUAUUUUACAAACAUGGUGUAAUGAGCGUCAUAUAUCAUAACAAAACAAAACUUUCAACAACGGAUCUCU
rnacentral:misc_RNA from 1 species